rnacentral:rRNA from 1 species
CAUAGGUUAAUGAGGCGAACCGGGGGAACUGAAACAUCUAAGUACCCCGAGGAAAAGAAAUCAACCGAGAUUCCCCCAGUAGCGGCGAGCGAACGGGGAGGAGCCCAGAGCCUGAAUCAGUGUGUGUGUUAGUGGAAGCGUCUGGAAAGGCGCGCGAUACAGGGUGACAGCCCCGUACACAAAAAUGCACAUGCUGUGAGCUCGAUGAGUAGGGCGGGACACGUGGUAUCCUGUCUGAAUAUGGGGGGACCAUCCUCCAAGGCUAAAUACUCCUGACUGACCGAUAGUGAACCAGUACCGUGAGGGAAAGGCGAAAAGAACCCCGGCGAGGGGAGUGAAAAAGAACCUGAAACCGUGUACGUACAAGCAGUGGGAGCCUCUUAAUGGGGUGACUGCGUACCUUUUGUAUAAUGGGUCAGCGACUUAUAUUCUGUAGCAAGGUUAACCGAAUAGGGGAGCCGAAGGGAAACCGAGUCUUAACUGGGCGUUAAGUUGCAGGGUAUAGACCCGAAACCCGGUGAUCUAGCCAUGGGCAGGUUGAAGGUUGGGUAACACUAACUGGAGGACCGAACCGACUAAUGUUGAAAAAUUAGCGGAUGACUUGUGGCUGGGGGUGAAAGGCCAAUCAAACCGGGAGAUAGCUGGUUCUCCCCGAAAGCUAUUUAGGUAGCGCCUCGUGAAUUCAUCUCCGGGGGUAGAGCACUGUUUCGGCAAGGGGGUCAUCCCGACUUACCAACCCGAUGCAAACUGCGAAUACCGGAGAAUGUUAUCACGGGAGACACACGGCGGGUGCUAACGUCCGUCGUGAAGAGGGAAACAACCCAGACCGCCAGCUAAGGUCCCAAAGUCAUGGUUAAGUGGGAAACGAUGUGGGAAGGCCCAGACAGCCAGGAUGUUGGCUUAGAAGCAGCCAUCAUUUAAAGAAAGCGUAAUAGCUCACUGGUCGAGUCGGCCUGCGCGGAAGAUGUAACGGGGCUAAACCAUGCACCGAAGCUGCGGCAGCGACACUAUGUGUUGUUGGGUAGGGGAGCGUUCUGUAAGCCUGUGAAGGUGGCCUGUGAGGGUUGCUGGAGGUAUCAGAAGUGCGAAUGCUGACAUAAGUAACGAUAAAGCGGGUGAAAAGCCCGCUCGCCGGAAGACCAAGGGUUCCUGUCCAACGUUAAUCGGGGCAGGGUGAGUCGACCCCUAAGGCGAGGCCGAAAGGCGUAGUCGAUGGGAAACAGGUUAAUAUUCCUGUACUUGGUGUUACUGCGAAGGGGGGACGGAGAAGGCUAUGUUGGCCGGGCGACGGUUGUCCCGGUUUAAGCGUGUAGGCUGGUUUUCCAGGCAAAUCCGGAAAACCAAGGCUGAGGCGUGAUGACGAGGCACUACGGUGCUGAAGUGACAAAUGCCCUGCUUCCAGGAAAAGCCUCUAAGCAUCAGGUAACAUCAAAUCGUACCCCAAACCGACACAGGUGGUCAGGUAGAGAAUACCAAGGCGCUUGAGAGAACUCGGGUGAAGGAACUAGGCAAAAUGGUGCCGUAACUUCGGGAGAAGGCACGCUGAUAUGUAGGUGAAGCGACUUGCUCGUGGAGCUGAAAUCAGUCGAAGAUACCAGCUGGCUGCAACUGUUUAUUAAAAACACAGCACUGUGCAAACACGAAAGUGGACGUAUACGGUGUGACGCCUGCCCGGUGCCGGAAGGUUAAUUGAUGGGGUUAGCGGUAACGCGAAGCUCUUGAUCGAAGCCCCGGUAAACGGCGGCCGUAACUAUAACGGUCCUAAGGUAGCGAAAUUCCUUGUCGGGUAAGUUCCGACCUGCACGAAUGGCGUAAUGAUGGCCAGGCUGUCUCCACCCGAGACUCAGUGAAAUUGAACUCGCUGUGAAGAUGCAGUGUACCCGCGGCAAGACGGAAAGACCCCGUGAACCUUUACUAUAGCUUGACACUGAACAUUGAGCCUUGAUGUGUAGGAUAGGUGGGAGGCUUUGAAGUGUGGACGCCAGUCUGCAUGGAGCCGACCUUGAAAUACCACCCUUUAAUGUUUGAUGUUCUAACGUUGGCCCCUAAUCGGGGUUGCGGACAGUGUCUGGUGGGUAGUUUGACUGGGGCGGUCUCCUCCUAAAGAGUAACGGAGGAGCACGAAGGUUGGCUAAUCCUGGUCGGACAUCAGGAGGUUAGUGCAAUGGCAUAAGCCAGCUUGACUGCGAGCGUGACGGCGCGAGCAGGUGCGAAAGCAGGUCAUAGUGAUCCGGUGGUUCUGAAUGGAAGGGCCAUCGCUCAACGGAUAAAAGGUACUCCGGGGAUAACAGGCUGAUACCGCCCAAGAGUUCAUAUCGACGGCGGUGUUUGGCACCUCGAUGUCGGCUCAUCACAUCCUGGGGCUGAAGUAGGUCCCAAGGGUAUGGCUGUUCGCCAUUUAAAGUGGUACGCGAGCUGGGUUUAGAACGUCGUGAGACAGUUCGGUCCCUAUCUGCCGUGGGCGCUGGAGAACUGAGGGGG